rnacentral:lncRNA from 1 species
CCUUUUCUGCUUCGCUCCCAACUAAGAAUGCAGAGUCAGGGAGAUGGCGCAGAGACAAUGCUGCUGUCCAUUGAAGCCCUCCAAAGGUCGGAGAUUCGAUCACAGGACAGCCUGGCCUGGACCAAGUCAGGUUGAUAUGGCUAGGCGGCCUGCUGGCGAGAUAGUGGGAGUGGGCGGUCCGCCCCUCAGGACCUCUGACUUGGACAGAUGACUGGAUGACUCUCUGGGGCAGCAUUCACCGGAACUCAUAUGGAGGGGGCUGCCUGAGAAACCAACCUGUGUGCCUGGGUCAGGUUGAUAUGGCUAGGCGGCCUGCUGGCGAGAUAGUGGGAGUGGGCGGUCCGCCCCUCAGGACCUCUGACUUGGACAGAUGACUGGAUGACUCUCUGGGGCAGCAUUCACCGGAACUCAUAUGGAGGGGGCUGCCUGAGAAACCAACCUGUGUGCCUGGGUCAGGUUGAUAUGGCUAGGCGGCCUGCUGGCGAGAUAGUGGGAGUGGGCGGUCCGCCCCUCAGGACCUCUGACUUGGACAGAUGACUGGAUGACUCUCUGGGGCAGCAUUCACCGGAACUCAUAUGGAGGGGGCUGCCUGAGAAACCAACCUGUGUGCCUGGGUCAGGUUGAUAUGGCUAGGCGGCCUGCUGGCGAGAUAGUGGGAGUGGGCGGUCCGCCCCUCAGGACCUCUGACUUGGACAGAUGACUGGAUGACUCUCUGGGGCAGCAUUCACCGGAACUCAUAUGGAGGGGGCUGCCUGAGAAACCAACCUGUGUGCCUGGCCCACCACCUACCAGAGGUAUUGGAAAAGAACGGAUACGGAGGAAGUGGACCCAUUUAGAGGUGAUUAUUUGGAGCAAAUCCCAUCUGCUUUGUCAGUUAUUGAGCAGUUCCGUUCAUAGGCUGGCAAUGGCAGCUUGAUCCACUCUCAAAGUCUUCAUGGAUACACCAGCAGUCCGUUCAGUAAAGUCCAGAUAGCAGCAGUUGCACGACCUAGCAGGAACAACCAGGCCUCAGCUGAAGACAGUAGUCUACAGGAGGCAUUGGACUAGCAUGAAUGUCAGGAGAAACUUACAGCUGUGCCUCUCUUAAGGAAGUGAAGAUCAGUGAAGACAGGAGACCAAAAGGCGUUUAGCUGUGCAAGCAAGCCAAGCCCUUCUCCCAGUCCCUCCAAACAUCACUAGUCCUCCACAGGACUUGUCUCACCAUGUGUUGCCUCAGCAAAACUCACCUUUACAAACACAGCUUUGAAGGCCAGUUUUUUGAGUUAAUAAUGUAAACAAAUGUUAUUCUACGACAAACGUAGAAUUCAAGAGAAAAAUGGAGUAAUGAGUAAACCAGACAUUAAAAAAGAUUCUAUAAAUGAUCGAAUUACCUUUAGGCUACUGCAGCUUAGGUAUAAUGUAAGGGGAGUAAUAAUCUACAAAUAAGCAAAUGAGCCAAGAUGACCAAGAUGGAAAUGGUUUGAUUAGGAAUUUGAUUAGGGAAGUUCUGCCAAGGCAGGGAUAGUUGGGGUGGACACCUUUAGUCCCAGCACUGGGGCUUUAUGCAUGCUAAGGACGAGCUCUAUUGCUGGGCCCCACGCUCUAGAGUCAAUGCUCUAAAAUACUGCACAAACUAAUUCUCAGACAUUAACUGCAGGAAGAAUGCUCUAAUCCUAGAUGAGUGUUUUCAAAACAAAACUUAGCAGCGAAGACCAAAAAA